AUUGAACGCUGGCGGCAGGCCUAACACAUGCAAGUCGAACGAGUGGCGGACGGGCGAGCAAUGUCUGGGAAACUGCUUGACGGAGGGGGAUAAAUACUGGAAACGGUAGCUAAUACCGCAAAACACCGGUUGUGCUCUGAUGGGAUUAGGUAGUAGGUGGGGUAACGGCUCAUCUGGGCGACGCGCCCUAGCUGGUCUGAGAGGGUGACCAGCCACACUGGGACUUAGACACGGUCCAGACUCCUACGGGAGGCAGCAGUAGGGAAUAUUGGACAAUGGGCUCAAGCCUGAUGCAGCCAUGCCGCGUGUGUGAAGAAGGCCUUCGGGUUGUAAAGUCCUGUCAGCAGGGAAGCGUUACCCACAGAGAAAGCAACGGCUAACUCCGUGCCAGCAGCCGCGGUAAUAC
rnacentral:rRNA from 1 species